CCUACGGGAGGCAGCAGUGAGGAAUAUUGGUCAAUGGACGAGAGUCUGAACCAGCCAAGUAGCGUGAAGGAUGACUGCCCUAUGGGUUGUAAACUUCUUUUAUAUGGGAAUAAAAUGUUCCACGUGUGGGAUUUUGUAUGUACCAUAUGAAUAAGGAUCGGCUAACUCCGUGCCAGCAGCCGCGGUAAUACGGAGGAUCCGAGCGUUAUCCGGAUUUAUUGGGUUUAAAGGGAGCGUAGGUGGAUUGUCAAGUCAGUUGUGAAAGUUUGCGGCUCAACCGUAAAAUUGCAGUUGAAACUGGCAGUCUUGAGUACAGUAGAGGUGGGCGGAAUUCGGGGUGUAGCGGUGAAAUGCUUAGAUAUCACGAAGAACUCCGAUUGCGAAGGCAGUUCACUGGACUGCAACUGACACUGAGGCUCGAAAGUGUGGGUAUCAAACAGGAUUAGAUACCCCUGUAGUC
rnacentral:rRNA from 1 species